rnacentral:rRNA from 1 species
UACGGAGGGGGCUAGCGUUGUUCGGAAUUACUGGGCGUAAAGCGCACGUAGGCGGCUUUGUAAGUUAGAGGUGAAAGCCCGGAGCUCAACUCCGGAAUUGCCUUUAAGACUGCAUCGCUCGAAUCAUGGAGAGGUGAGUGGAAUUCCGAGUGUAGAGGUGAAAAUUCGUAGAUAUUCGGAAGAACACCAGUGGCGAAGGCGACUCACUGGACAUGUAUUGACGCUGAGGUGCGAAAAGCAUGGGGAGCGAACAGG